rnacentral:lncRNA from 1 species
CCCUCUUUUACUUGGUUUUUCAUCUUUGAUUUCCCUUUCAACAGUCUUACUGUCCUUUAUUUUAAACCAAUUCCAAAAGCAAUCGAAAAUAAAAAGUAAGACAUUGAAAAAUAAGUGAAUGUUAAGAAAUCACUUGUCCCCUUCGAUUUUGGUGAAUAUUAUUUACGUGUUUUAAAUUUACUUUUUUGACUUCUGUUUUCUCCUGUCUGGGUGAUUUUCAUUUUGUGCAGCCAAUGACUGUAAAUAUCACUUCUGCAAAAACGUAAUUGGAAUUCCUACAAAUUGGUUUUUCCUAACACAAUGUCUUUUAUGUUUUCUAUUUUAGUGUUAUGUGGAAGCUUGUGUCAUAUUACCGUUCAUUAAACCAUUCACUGAUUCCACAGAUAUUUGUUGAGUACCUGCUACAUAUGCCCAAGGUGCACAUUAAGAAGUUGAAAGACUCACCAGAAAAUUUAAAAAAGAAAAGGCUAUACCUACUGGCUUACUUCUGAUUGCUUUGCCACUUACUAGUCGUGUCAUCUUCUUCAAUAUGUCUUUGUUCAAUGACUGAACGACUGAAUGAACACAUGACGAGAAAGAGACUUUUGAACCUGUGGAGUCCAGAGGCUGUGAAAUGCAGAGAUGUGCAACCCCAGGACAAGUGGCUCAGACCAUUUAUCUAUCAGAGGAUUCAUGGAAAGGACUCAGUGUUUACCAGGAUACUUCCAAGGUGCCCUAUCCGUAUAGAGUGGAACUUUAAAACCGGAGAAAAAGUCCAACGAAAUAAGUCAAGUGGAAUAUGUUGUCUUCUACCAUAUUUAGGCAGAGAUCUUGACUAAUUAAUCUUCAAAGAAGUGAAAAUAAUCUACUCUUGAACUUAAUUAUGCAAAUAAAACAAUUCUAAUUUCGGAAAUGGCUAGAGAU